UCUGCGGGAGAGCCGGCUAUUUCGGCGCCGAAGGAGCAACCGCCCCGGGAAUCUCUCAGGCACCCGUACCGCAGAGG
rnacentral:ncRNA from 1 species